CAUAGUAGUGGUGAAUCAUCGAAUCUUUGAACGCACCUUGCACUUAAAUAGUCAAUAUUUAAGUAUACCUGUUUGAGUAUCAUAAACAUUUAUCCAAUUUAUUGGGAUUUGAGAGAUUAGUGUUACGGCGUUAUCUCUUUAAAUGUAGUUAGGAAGUCAAGGUAAAGAGCGCUUUAUUCUUGGAUGAGGAUAUUUACUCUAGUAGUAAACAAAUCAUUGGAGAGUGGAGAGGCGAUAUUUUUGAAUCCUUCUGUCUCUUGCAGACAACUAGUACAAAUGUGAUCUCAAAUCAGGCAAGACUACCCGCCGAACUUAAGCAUAUCAAUAAGCGGAGG
rnacentral:rRNA from 1 species